rnacentral:misc_RNA from 1 species
GAGGUGCGGAAAUCCGGUGAGGUGAUGGCGGACGACGUCGUUCCGAAGACGUUCCGUGCGUUGGUAGAAAGUGCGGAGAAGAAAUAUGCAAGAGUACGGGAUUUACCGGCGUACGGACGGUGGGGAACGAGUAACCACUACUUUCACAAGGUGUUUAAGGCGUACAUGAGGUUAUGGAAGUAUCAGCAGGAGAACAGGAUGAGGCUUUUGGAGUGUGGAUUACAGCGUUGGGAGAUCGGAGAGAUCGCUUCACGGAUCGGUCAGCUUUACUUUAGUCAGUAUAUGAGGACUAGUGAAGCGAGGUUUUUACUCGAGUCGUGUAUUUUCUAUGAAGCGAUUUUGAACAGGAAGUAUUUUGAAGGUUCUGGAAAAGAUCGGAUGGUGAGGUUUAAGGAGCUGAGGUUCUAUGCCAGGUUUUUGAUGGUUUCGUUGAUUUUGAACCGGACGGAAAUGGUGAACCUGCUGGUUGAGCAGUUUAAAGCUAUUGUUGAUGACAGUAAAACUGCUUUUCCGGGUACUAACUUCAAAGAGUGGAGACUAGUGGUGCAAGAAAUAGUUAGAUUUGCAAGAG